rnacentral:lncRNA from 1 species
GGCGAGGUCGCGAGGAGCCUGGAGGCUGGAGCGCGAGCGCAGGCACGCAGCGGAGGAGACGAGGAGGCGGCGGGCGGAGGGGAAAUGGGGGUAGGGUUUGCGAAGGGGGGGCGUCGCCGGCCGCGAGGGCUUAUAUACGCCCCCCUUCCGACCGUUGCUGGGCCGGCCUGCUGGGCCGCUACUCGUUUGACGGGCCGGCAACGGGCUGGAAAUCAUUUUCGUGCCGGGCCAUGCCGCCCGUCGGGCCGAGGAGACGGUCCACGCCCGGCACGAUGCUGCGGGCCGGGCCAGCCCGAGUCCGAAGAAUUACGGGCCGGGCCGGGUUAGGUACGGGCUAAAAAAACGUGCUCCGUGCCGGGCUCUCGGGCUGCGGGCUGCAUGGCAAGAUAUAGUUCAUACCUAAUGUUAGGUAAAUUUUCUAUGACUGCUGUUUGGAUAGAUGUCAUAAAAAUCUGGUAAAAAGAUUUUUC